rnacentral:rRNA from 1 species
UACGAAGGGUGCAAGCGUUACUCGGAAUUACUGGGCGUAAAGCGUGCGUAGGUGGUUUGUUAAGUCUGUUGUGAAAGCCCCGGGCUCAACCUGGGAAUGGCAAUGGAUACUGGCAAGCUAGAGUGCGGUAGAGGCGGGUGGAAUUCCGGGUGUAGCGGUGGAAUGCGUAGAGAUCCGGAAGAACACCAGUGGCGAAGGCGACCCGCUGGGCAGUGGCUGACGCUGAGGCGCGACAGCGUGGGGAGCAAACAGG